rnacentral:rRNA from 1 species
UGCAGUCGAGCGGAAGAAGGGAGCUUGCUCCCGGAUGUUAGCGGCGGACGGGUGAGUAACACGUGGGUAACCUGCCUGUAAGACUGGGAUAACUCCGGGAAACCGGAGCUAAUACCGGAUAGUUCCUUGAACCGCAUGGUUCAAGGAUGAAAGACGGUUUCGGCUGUCACUUACAGAUGGACCCGCGGCGCAUUAGCUAGUUGGUGAGGUAACGGCUCACCAAGGCGACGAUGCGUAGCCGACCUGAGAGGGUGAUCGGCCACACUGGGACUGAGACACGGCCCAGACUCCUACGGGAGGCAGCAGUAGGGAAUCUUCCGCAAUGGACGAAAGUCUGACGGAGCAACGCCGCGUGAGUGAUGAAGGUUUUCGGAUCGUAAAGCUCUGUUGUUAGGGAAGAACAAGUGCAAGAGUAACUGCUUGCACCUUGACGGUACCUAACCAGAAAGCCACGGCUAACUACGUGCCAGCAGCCGCGGUAAUACGUAGGUGGCAAGCGUUGUCCGGAAUUAUUGGGCGUAAAGGGCUCGCAGGCGGUUUCUUAAGUCUGAUGUGAAAGCCCCCGGCUCACCGGGGAGGGUCAUUGGAACUGGGAAACUUGAGUGCAGAAGAGGAGAGUGAUUCCACGUGUAGCGUGAAUGCGUAGAGAUGUGGAGGAACACCAGUGGCGAGGCGACUCUCUGGUCUGUACUGACGCUGAGAGCGAAGCGUGGGAGCGAACAGGAUUAGAUACCUGGUAGUCCACGCUGUAAACGAUGAGUGCUAAGUGUUAGGGGGUUUCCGCCCUUUAGUGCUGCAGCUAACGCAUUAAGCACUCCGCCUGGGGAGUACGGUCGCAAGACUGAAACUCAAAGGAAUUGACGGGGGCCCGCACAAGCGGUGGAGCAUGUGGUUUAAUUCGAAGCAACGCGAAGAACCUUACCAGGUCUUGACAUCCUCUGACAACCCUAGAGAUAGGGCUUUCCCUUCGGGGACAGAGUGACAGGUGGUGCAUGGUUGUCGUCAGCUCGUGUCGUGAGAUGUUGGGUUAAGUCCCGCAACGAGCGCAACCCUUGAUCUUAGUUGCCAGCAUUUAGUUGGGCACUCUAAGGUGACUGCCGGUGACAAACCGGAGGAAGGUGGGGAUGACGUCAAAUCAUCAUGCCCCUUAUGACCUGGGCUACACACGUGCUACAAUGGACAGAACAAAGGGCUGCGAGACCGCAAGGUUUAGCCAAUCCCACAAAUCUGUUCUCAGUUCGGAUCGCAGUCUGCAACUCGACUGCGUGAAGCUGGAAUCGCUAGUAAUCGCGGAUCGGCAUGCCGCGGUGAAUACGUUCCCGGGCCUUGUACACACCGCCCUCACACCACGAGAGUUUGCAACACCCGAAGUCGGUGAGGUAACCUUUAUGGAGCCAGCCGCCGAAG